rnacentral:rRNA from 1 species
UACGAAGGGGGCUAGCGUUGCUCGGAAUCACUGGGCGUAAAGCGCACGUAGGCGGAUCUUUAAGUCAGGGGUGAAAUCCCAAGGCUCAACCUUGGAACUGCCUUUGAUACUGGGGAUCUCGAGUCCGGAAGAGGUUGGUGGAACUGCGAGUGUAGAGGUGAAAUUCGUAGAUAUUCGCAAGAACACCAGUGGCGAAGGCGGCCAACUGGUCCGGUACUGACGCUGAGGUG